GACGAACGCUGGCGGCGUGCCUAAUACAUGCAAGUCGAGCGGACUUGAUGGAGUGCUUGCACUCCGGAUGGUUAGCGGCGGACGGGUGAGUAACACGUAGGCAACCUGCCUGUAAGACCGGGAUAACUAGCGGAAACGUUAGCUAAUACCGGAUGAUUUAUUUCAUCGCAUGGUGGAAUAAUGAAAGACGGAGCAAUCGGUCACUUACGGAUGGGCAUGCGGCGCAUUAGCCAGUUGGUGGGGUAACGGCUCACCAAGGCGACGAUGCGUAGCCGACCUGAGAGGGUGAACGGCCACACCGGGACUGAGACACGGCCCAGACUCCUACGGGAGGCAGCAGUAGGGAAUCUUCCGCAAUGGACGAAAGUCUGACGGAGCAACGCCGCGUGAGUGAUGAAGGUUUUCGGAUCGUAAAGCUCUGUUGCCAGGGAAGAACGUCCUUAAGAGUAACUGCUUAAGGAGUGACGGUACCUGAGAAGAAAGCCCCGGCUAACUACGUGCCAGCAGCCGCGGUAAUAC
rnacentral:rRNA from 1 species